UCAAAGCCUUCCCCUCCACCCGGUAGGAGUGAUGUUCACGUCGUCACCGCCAGAUGGCACGGGGGUAUACGGGGGAUGGAAAUACACGUGUUACGAUAUUGCGCGAGAACUUGGAUAUUCCGAUCGCCGGAAAUAAUACACACGGGGCUUACACGCGUCAUCGAUGUUUCGGUUUUCGCGAAACAUCCGCGCGUAGAAUAACACGAAUCCAGAGUUUGCAAUCAAACUGGCGCAUUCGAUUCGUGUGUUGUUAAUUACAAUCGUUGUGUUGUUAGACAUAUCAUAUCUAAUAACACCGUUUCGAAUUUAAAAAAACGUCCCAAAAACUUCGCAAAAUGGCAAUCCCUCUGUUUCCC